rnacentral:rRNA from 1 species
UUGAACGCUGGCGGCAUGCUUUACACAUGCAAGUCGAACGGUAACAGGCCUUCGGGUGCUGACGAGUGGCGACCGGGUGAGUAAUGCAUCGGAACGUACCCAGAGGUGGGGGAUAACGCAGCGAAAGCUGUGCUAAUACCGCAUGUGAUCUGAGGAUGAAAGCGGGGGACCGAGCAGCAAUGUUUGGCCUCGCGCCUUUGGAGCGGCCGAUGUCGGAUUAGCUAGUUGGUGGGGUAAAGGCCUACCAAGGCGACGAUCCGUAGCUGGUCUGAGAGGACGACCAGCCACACUGGGACUGAGACACGGCCCAGACUCCUACGGGAGGCAGCAGUGGGGAAUUUUGGACAAUGGGCGCAAGCCUGAUCCAGCAAUGCCGCGUGCGGGAAGAAGGCCUUCGGGUUGUAAACCGCUUUUGGCAGGAACGAAACGGUGUCCGCUAAUACCGGGCGCUAAUGACGGUACCUGCAGAAUAAGCACCGGCUAACUACGUG